CCAGACUCCUACGGGAGGCAGCAGUGGGGAAUAUUGCACAAUGGGGGAAACCCUGAUGCAGCGACGCCGCGUGAGUGAAGAAGUAUUUCGGUAUGUAAAGCUCUAUCAGCAGGGAAGAAAAUGACGGUACCUGAUUAAGAAGCCCCGGCUAACUACGUGCCAGCAGCCGCGGUAAUACGUAGGGGGCAAGCGUUAUCCGGAUUUACUGGGGGUAAAGGGAGCGUAGACGGCAGCGCAAGUCUGAAGUGAAAUGCCGGGGCUUAACCCCGGAACUGCUUUGGAAACUGUGCAGCUAGAGUGCAGGAGAGGUAAGUGGAAUUCCUGGUGUAGCGGUGAAAUGCGUAGAUAUUAGGAGGAGCACCAGUGGCGAAGGCG
rnacentral:rRNA from 1 species